AAACUUUUAACAACGGAUCUCUUGGCUCUCGCAUCGAUGAAGAACGCAGCGAAAUGCGAUAAGUAAUGUGAAUUGCAGAAUUCAGUGAAUCAUCGAAUCUUUGAACGCACCUUGCGCCCUUUGGUAUUCCGAAGGGCAUGCCUGUUUGAGUGUCAU
rnacentral:rRNA from 3 species